rnacentral:lncRNA from 1 species
GUGCCUAGAAAAGAGAGACGUGUUUUCAUUAAAAUGUGAAAAUUUUCCAUUGUCUUCAUUUAUGGCAGUAAUAUGAAAAGUAUUUACCUGGGGCUGGCCCAGUGGCGCAGCGGUUAAGUGUGCAUGUUCUGCUUCUCAGCAGCCCUGGGUUCGUCAGUUCAGAUCCCAGGUGAGGCCAUGGCACUGCUUGGCAAGCCAUGCUGUGGGAGGCAUCCCACAUAUAAAGUAGAGGAAGAUGGGCACAGAUGUUAGCUCAGGGCCAGUCUUCCUCAGCAAAAAGAGGAAUGGCAGUAGUUAGCUCAGGGCUAAUCUUCCUCAAAAAAAAAAAAAACGUAUUUACCUGAGGAUCCUAAGAAUUUUCACUCACAGUGAGAUACCACUUCACAUACAAGACAGUUGCUAUAAUAAAAAAGUCAGAUAAUGACAAUUGUUGGCAGGGAUGCUGAGAAAUUUGAACCCUCACAGAUUGCUGCUAGGAAUAUGCAACAGUGCAGCCAUUUUGGAAAAUAGUUUGGCAGUUUCUUAAAAUGUUAAACUUUGAUAUUUUAUGUCAUCCGGCAAUUCCACUUCUAGGUAGCCUACCCAAGAAAAAUAAAAAUUCAUGUCUACACAAAGACUUGCCCAUGAAUGUUCAUAGCAGCAUUGUUCAUAAUAGCUGAAAAGUAAAAAGAAAGCAAAUGUCCAUUGGCUGAUGAACAGAUGAACAAAACAUGGCAUAUCCAUGCAAUGGAAUACUAUUUGCAAUAAAAAGGGACGAAAUGCCGAUAUAUGCUAUAAUAUUGUUGAACCUGAAAAACAUUAUGCCAACUGAGAGAAGCCAGAUGUAAGAGAUCACAUAUCGUAUGAUCUCAUUAAUAGCAAGUGUCUAGAAAAGGCAAAUAUAGACAGACAAAAAGUAGAUUAGUUAUCGCUUGAGGCUAGAAGUGAGAACAGUGAGUGACUGCAAGUGGACACGAGGUCUCUUUUGGGGUGAUGGAAAUGUUCUAAAAUUAGAUUGUGGUGAUGGUUGCACAACUGUAAAUUUAUUAAAAAUUGUUAAAUUGUGUACUUAAAACAGGUGAAUUUUAUGGUUUGGAGCAAAACAGUAUAUCUUGCUAUAGCUAUUUUUAAAAAGAAACUAUGUGCCCCUCAAUUUACUUUCCUUGAAGCAACAUGGAGCCAAAAAGGACAACGUAGCUUAAAAGACCAAGAUAAUUUUGGACUGUGUGUGUGGAGGGGUUUCGUGAAGCCCUCGUUUCUUUUUUCAUGGUUGUUAUUUUAUGACAAGAGUCGAACCUGUGUUAAUUGGCAGACAUUCUCUAUCAAUGCGUUUUGGAUGGCGCCAAUUCCUUUUUCUCAGUCUAGCUCUCUUCAGUUCUCUCGCUCUGUCUCAUCACCCAGUAACCAUUUGGUGGCAUUUAGAGGCAGGGUGCAAAGGCAUUUUCUUUUUGUAAGUUUGAACAGAGUUUGGGGCCCCUGCAUGAUGAGAGGAGAAAAAUUGAGGAGAAUUCUCAUAAUAAGAUUCGUAGAAUCUUACUAUUCAGGAAUAAUGGACUCCCCCAUCUUCUCCUCUCUCCACUGAAAUCACCUGCAGUGAGGAAGAGCAGAGGCUGGAUUCCACCAUCAGACUCCAGGAGAAUAGAAGCGAGCUGUCCCAGCCCACCUGUCAUGGGGAGAGCGUGGGCAGAGGAGGGAAGAGAUUUCCAGUAGACGAUUGAAAAGGGCAAGAGAGAGGCCAACUGAUUUAAAUUUUUUUAUGAGGUUUCCUAAGAUCUUGCCUGCUUAUCACUUCUCAUUGAAGUUCUGAGAGCAGUCUGGCUCUCACAUAGGCUUCCCCCCUCCUUUGCUUCCACCGUGGCCCUCUCCCCACACCCUGGCUCAUUUCCCACUGCGAUACCUGGAAGUCAGCCCUUUGUACAAGUUAGGGACCCAAUCAAAGCCGGCAAAUGGAAUGUGUAGGUUAUUUACGGAUUGUUGCCGAGCAAAUUUAAUCACCGGCCUGCUGUAACUCCAUCAUCAUUUCCCUUGACGAGAACAUCACAGACUUAAAUUUUGCAAAGGAGGGAGAAGUGGCCAUAAUCCAACUAUAACAGUAACAGCCAAUUCCGCUGUGAUGGGAAGAGGCACUGUGUUAGUGCCAAUACAUUAACCAACUUUGCAAUUGCAGCGGGGAAACUGAUUGCCAUUACAAUUCCCAUGGCACUCCUCCACGAAGGAGAUGAAGUUUAUGUCCCCUCCUCUUGAAUCUACGUGGGCGCUGUGACUGCUCUGACUGAUAGAAUAUGGCAGAAGUGACACGCUGCCAAUUUCUGGGCAAGAUUGGCAGCUUCUGUGUCCUGGCUUGCUGGGAAUCCUGAGCUGCAACUUAAGAAGUCUGACUGUGCUGAAGCUACCAAGCUGGAGAGGCCAUCUGUCAGCGUUUCAGUCGACUGUCCCAGCAGACCUCACUCUUCCAGCAGUCCCAACACGCCAGGCAUUGAAAGACGCCAUCUUGGUUUCUCCAAACAAGCUUACUGCCAGCCGAAUACUCUAGGUGACCUCAAUUGAUGUCAUGUGGAGCAGGAGAAUUGCCUUGCUGAGCCUUGUUAGAAUUCUUUGGCAGCAAAUUCCUGAGGAAGUGCUCGUGCUGGCCCCUCCCCAGCUCCAGCUUUGAAACAGAACUGGGUUCAGCAACUAAAAUGA